AACGAACGCUGGCGGCAGGCCUAACACAUGCAAGUCGAGCGCGCCCUUCGGGGUGAGCGGCGGACGGGUGAGUAACGCGUGGGAACGUGCCCUUCUCUGCGGAAUAGCCUCGGGAAACUGAGAGUAAUACCGCAUACGCCCUUUGGGGGAAAGAUUUAUCGGAGAAGGAUCGGCCCGCGUUGGAUUAGGUAGUUGGUGGGGUAAUGGCCCACCACGCCGACGAUCCAUAGCUGGUUUGAGAGGAUGAUCAGCCACACUGGGACUGAGACACGGCCCAGACUCCUACGGGAGGCAGGAGUGGGGAAUCUUAGACAAUGGGGGCAACCCUGAUCGAGCCAUGCCGCGUGAGUGAUGAAGGCCUUAGGGUUGUAAAGCUCUUUAAGCUGGGAAGAUAAUGACGGUACCAGCAGAAGAAGCCCCGGCUAACUCCGUG
rnacentral:rRNA from 1 species